ensembl:lncRNA
AUGUACAUAUUUUUUUUUCUAGCCCCCAGUGAAUCCGCUGUGAAAAAACGUAUCAGGACUCUUGGAUAUCUUCAUGUGUUUCUUCCAAAUAUUAUGAUGUUUGUGGCCUUUGUCCUCUGGGGUGUUACUGAAGGUUUUCUGUAUGAGACGGUCUCUUGCUGUGCUCUUUAUAUACUGAGGCCUCUGAUGUUGCUUUAUGUUGCGCCAUAUUUAGAGAAGACGUCAGGUGAAGCUCUUUUCACUGAAAUCAUCAUUUUCAUAGUAGUUUAUGUUUCAGUUCUUAUGUGUCGUGCUUGGGAAUCAGUUGUACAUUAUGCCAAAUCAGACAAAAUCGUGGUAUUGGCUGUGUAUGGCGUAAUGAUUCUGUUUAUUGUCAUCGGCGUCAUUUACGUUUUGUCUAAAAAGAAGGAGAUGCCAUGCCAUGGAGCGAUAUGUAAUUGGAUAUGGGAUCAAUUAGCAAUUGCAUCUGGAUUUAUCUUUUUAAUUCUUCCUUCAUUGCAAUUUGCUGUUGUGUACUUUGCUUUUGGAGCUGCCAGAGGAGAUCUAACCAUCACCUUUAAAAAGAUGUUGUAUGUGUUUGGAUCAGUUGGUGUUGUUGUACUGAACUCUGGUACACUGAUGACUGAACUGAUACUGAAAACAGGUAAAGAGUAA